rnacentral:rRNA from 1 species
UACGGGGGGGGCAAGCGUUGUUCGGAAUUACUGGGCGUAAAGGGCUCGUAGGUGGCCAACUCAGUCAGACGUGAAAUCCCCUCGGCUUAACCGGGGAACUGCGUCUGAUACUGGAUGGCUUGAGGUUGGGAGAGGGAUGCGGAAUUCCAGGUGUAGCGGUGAAAUGCGUAGAUAUCUGGAGGAACACCGGUGGCGAAGGCGGCAUCCUGGACCGACAUUGACGCUGAGGAGCGAAAGCCAGGGGAGCAAACGGG